AUUCAAGUCUCUUCCUGUAUCACGACUAGUCUCUAAAAACAGAUUCCCCUGCUUUUAAUAAAGCUGCACCUCAUCUGCUUAACUUCAAAAAAACUCUGAUAGAACAGUGUACACAACUUGCAGAAGCAGAACAGUGGACUAGUCUAGUAGAUUAUUGUUUGCUUGCAUGGUCAUAUGUACGUGCAACUCCUGUCUGGGACUCAAACCAUCACAAUAACACCAGAAAACUGUGUUUUAAGACUUUAGCACAGUAUUGCCUUCAGGGAUUGAAAGAAGUUCAGUGGACACGAGAUCAGCUUGAAAACCUCCUAAGAAAGCUUGAACAGUGCCAAGCAGAUCAUGAUGUUGGGAACUGCAUUGAGCAUGUGAGAACUGUGAUGAGCAAUCAGGAGUAAUAUAAUUUUGGUGUGCAUUUUACACACAGGUUUAAUGGUAAUUUUUUUUUUUCUCUGAGUUUAUUUUAACUUUGUUGCAUUAUUCUUUGGUAGUAUGCAAAAAAGUGUUUUCGUAUGUGGGCUCAAAGGAGUUUGCAGUUUUAAAGAAUUCUGAAUGAAGUUUGUGUAAUUUUGGUAUUUAUUCAAGUUUUUACAGUACUCUAUUAAUUCUUGUUUUAUCAUAUUAAUGAUUUGAAAAAUUGUUACCUUACUUAUGGAGUAUUAAGAGGUUAUAUAUGAAUGUUCCUAGGUUUGGUUAUUUAGUGUCUUGAAGUAGUUUAGUUGUUGCCAUCAGGAAAAUACUAGGUUGCUUAUGAAUUUUUUUAUGUUGCUCUAGUUAAAAUAUGAUUAAUGAAGCCUUAGCCCCAUACCUUUGUGUAGACUAGUGUGUGCACAUUUUCACAACCUGUAUGUGUAUAUUAUUGAAAGUGUAUGUUAAUAGUAUGAUUUACAUUUUGUUUACUACGAUUUUAUAACCUCUUAAUGGAACAUUUGUACAUAGACUCUUAAUGUCUAAGCUUAUCAUAUAAUAAUUUUGCUGACAUUUAUUGUAUAAAAAUGUGUAGGAAAUUCCUAAGGUGUAUUUAAUCUUGGUCUUUCCUCUGUGUAAGGGAUCAUAAAUUUUGCAUAGUAGGAAGUUGGUGUUAUUGAGAUGAUGAAUAAAGGAAUAUUUUCUACAUGGAAUUUUGGUAUACUAUAAAGUAAAGGACACCAGGAUUUCAAACUUAGGCAUAUAGGCAUAUGCUAUUUAUAAUCUGUCAUGUGUUGUCCAUUUUUGGGAUAGCCAAUAUAUAUGUGUAUAUAGUAGUAUAAUACUGUGGGCCCCCUGUAUUUGUGUUCUCCGGAUUUGUGGAAUCGCACAUUCACAGAUAUCUUUAUGGACCAUAUCUACCCAUUAUUUGCGGUAU